AAUUNACUCCCUCCGUCCGAAAAUACUUGUCAUUGAAAUGGAUGUAUCUAGAUGUAUUUUAGUUCUAGACACAUCCAUUUUGAUGACAAGUAAUUCCGGACAGAGGGAGUACUUG
rnacentral:pre_miRNA from 1 species